GCCACGCGGGAGCGUGGCGCCGGAUGCCUCUCGGGUCCGGCAGACGCCAUCGGGCAGAAUCCGAUGUUGCUCCUAUCCAUAUUGCUCAGAGGAGGAUGUGGUUAUGAGAA
rnacentral:sRNA from 17 species